GUGGGGAAUAUUGGACAAUGGGGGGAACCCUGAUCCAGCCAUGCCGCGUGUGUGAAGAAGGCCUUUUGGUUGUAAAGCACUUUAAGCGAGGAGGAGGCUACUCUAGUUAAUACCUAGGGAUAGUGGACGUUACUCGCAGAAUAAGCAACGGCUAACUCUGUGCCAGCAGCCGCGGUAAUACAGAGGGUGCAAGCGUUACUCGGAUUUACUGGGCGUAAAGCGCGCGUAGGUGGCCAAUUAAGUCAAAUGUGAAAUCACCGAGCUUAACUUGGGAAGUGCAUUCGAUACUGGUUGGCUAGAGUAUGGGAGAGGAUGGUAGAAUUCCAGGUGUAGCGGUGAAAUGCGUAGAGAUCUGGAGGAAUACCGAUGGCGAAGGCAGCCAUCUGGCCUAAUACUGACACUGAGGUGCGAAAGCAUGGGGAGCAAACAGGAUUAGAAACCCGGGUAGUCC
rnacentral:rRNA from 1 species